rnacentral:sRNA from 1 species
AUUCUACCCAUGUGGGGAGGAUGGCUUCGACUGAGGUUCGAUUCGAGCGCAACGAAAGCGUUACCACCCGAACGCGGCGGCCGAAGAACGGCGCGCAGCGCUGAGUCAUCUUCCCACCACCG